CGAGGACGAACGCGUGGCGGCGUGACCUAACACAUGACAAGUCGAACGGAGAGGACAUGAAGUAGUUCGGUACGGAAUGCUCUCUUAGUGGCGAACGGGUGAGUAACACGUGGGCAACCUGCCCCAGACUGGGGGAUAACAUUGUGAAAACAGUGCUAAUACCGCAUGACAGGGUUCCGGGCAUCCGGGACCCUUGAAAGGAGAAAUCCGGUCAGGGAUGGGCCCGCGUCCAAUUAGCUAGUUGGCGGGGUAACGGCCCACCAAGGCGACGAUUGGUAGCCGAACUGAGAGGUUGAUCGGCCACAUUGGGACUGAGACACGGCCCAGACUCCUACGGGAGGCAGCAGUGGGGAAUAUUGGGCAAUGGGCGAAAAAGCCUGACCCAGCGACGCCGCGUGAAGGAUGAAGGUCUUCGGAUUGUAAACUUCUUUGAUCAGGGAAGAAAGAAAUGACGGUACCUGAAAAACAAGCCACGGCUAACUACGUGCCAGCCGCGGC
rnacentral:rRNA from 1 species